rnacentral:rRNA from 1 species
GAUGAACGCUGGCGGCGUGCCUAAUACAUGCAAGUCGAGCGAACAGACGAGGAGCUUGCUCCUCUGACGUUAGCGGCGGACGGGUGAGUAACACGUGGAUAACCUACCUAUAAGACUGGGAUAACUUCGGGAAACCGGAGCUAAUACCGGAUAAUAUAUUGAACCGCAUGGUUCAAUAGUGAAAGACGGUUUUGCUUUCACUUAUAGAUUGAUCCGCGCCGCAUUAGCUAGUUGGUAAGGUAACGGCUUACCAAGGCAACGAUGCGUAGCCGACCUGAGAGGGUGAUCGGCCACACUGGAACUGAGACACGGUCCAGACUCCUACGGGAGGCAGCAGUAGGGAAUCUUCCGCAAUGGGCGAAAGCCUGACGGAGCCACGCCGCGUGAGUGAUGACGGUCUUCGGAUCGUAAAACUCUGUUAUUAGGGAAGAACAAAUGUGUAAGUAACUAUGCACGUCUUGACGGUACCUAAUCAGAAAGCCACGGCUAACUACGUG